rnacentral:rRNA from 1 species
GAAUGGAGGACCGAACCGACUUACGUUGAAAAGUGAGCGGAUGAACUGAGGGUAGCGGAGAAAUUCCAAUCGAACUUGGAGAUAGCUGGUUCUCUCCGAAAUAGCUUUAGGGCUAGCCUCAAGUGAUGAUUAUUGGAGGUAGAGCACUGUUUGGAUUACCGAAUCCAGACAAACUCCGAACGCCAAUUUAUAUAACUAGGUAGUCAGAAUGUUGGUGAUAAGGUCCAUAUUCAUAAAGGAAACAGCCCAUACCAUCAGCGAUGGUCCUAAAAAAUUUAUUAAGAGGAAAAGGAUGUUGCGCUGCCCAGACAACUAGGCUCUUGGCCUAGAAGCACCCAUCCGUCGAAUACUGCGUUUUUGCCCCCUGUGGACGGUCCACUCCGCCGAAAGUGUAUCGCGGCUAAACAUAUUACCGAAGCUGUGGAUUGUCCUUUGGACAAUGGUAGGAGAGCGUUCUAAGGGCGUUGAAGCAUGAUCGCAAGGACAUGUGGAGCGCUUAGAAGUGAGAAUGCCGGUGUGAGUAGCGAAAGACGGGUGAGAAUCCCGUCCACCGAUUGACUAAGGUUUCCAGAGGAAGGCUCGUCCGCUCUGGGUUAGUCGGGUCCUAAGCUGAGGCCGACAGGCGUAGGCGAUGGAUAACAGGUUGAUAUUCCUGUACCACCAUUAUUCGUUUUAAGCGAUGGGGGGACGCAGUAGGAU